ACUUCCCCUAGAGGCACUGCAGGUGUAGCUAUGUCACAUGUGCAUUGAUAGAUGGCCAAGAGAAAAAAGGCUGUAUCUAUGUAUCUACACUUCGUGUUCUGACCUAUAAACAUCCAAAUGAUCAACAGUUAACAUG